CAUAUACUCCCUUCGUCCGGAAAUACUUGUUAUCAAAAUGGAUAAAAGGGGAUGUAUCUAGAUGUAUUUUAGUUCUAGAUACAUCCCUUUUUAUCAAUUUUGAUGACAAGUAUUUUCGGACGGAGGGAGUAUAUU
rnacentral:pre_miRNA from 1 species